CCCAACAUAUCCCAUCUUAGUUCAAAUUCUUUUGAACUCUCAGCGAUCUUCGUAUUCCUUGCAUUUAAGAAUGUCGAUCAUCUUCUUAGGUUUACUAACUCCAUAUUUCAAUCUCAAGAAUCUCGGUUCUCCACAAUACUUUCCCAGACUCUAAUCGGACGCGGUAGCUUUUAUUGACUCCUUUUUCUAGAACUUCACUUACAACUGACCAUCUUCGAGUUCUAUAAUUUUGUACUAUUAUAUUAGUUCCCACAUCUAACUCAGGUAAGUCUCUUGUAUUUAAAUUGUAAUAAUUCAUUUCCUUUUCUCGACGUCUCUCCUCAUCCACUGAUUGAGUCCGGACCGUUGACUUCUCCAAUGUUUUGUUAUGCUAGAUCGUACUUGAUGACCAAAUAACCUUUCAUUAGGUGACCGUUACUUUGAGGAUAAUGAGGAGAUGAUGGUCCCCAUAUUAUGUUCCAUAUCUUCAAAAACUCCUUAAAUUCUUUAGAAUUAAACUGUGAACCUUGAUCCGUCCUCAACUUUGUAGGAAUUCCAGUCUCCGAAAAUAUCUUACUCAACACUACAAUUACAUUCUUAGAAUUAGAAACUCCCUUAAAUUCUUCUAUGUCAGCAGAUGCAAUUUCGAACGGUCUUAUUGGAGUCAGACCACACAAAAGUGAUUCCUUUUGUAAACAUGUUAACCUUUCUAUAUAUUUCCCACAUAACUGUACCAUUUCUUGAAUUUCCAUAUUCAUUCUCGGCCAAUAAACCGUUUGUCUGGCUCUUCUCUUUGUCCUUUCUAUGUCUUGAUGGGAAUAAUGUGAAGCUUUUCCAAAAUCUAUUUCCGUUUACCUUUUGGAAUUAUCAGCCGAUUUUUACAUAAAAACAAGGCCUCCUUUAGUGCUCAAUUCAGCAUUUACUAGGUCGAUAUACAUACUCUUGAUCUCUUAAAGACUCCUCACGAAUAUCUUCUACUAAUGGAUCAUCUAUUUUCUCUUCUUUUUCUGAU
rnacentral:lncRNA from 1 species